ACACACAGAGUCAUGUGAUUUCCAGUAACUGCAGAGCGGAUGGAGCAGCCAGUGAAAGUGAAAGUGUUCAGACUUGUUCUAACUGUAACGAGCAGACGGAGGAGACGUGAAGUCUGAGGCUGACUGAAGAUGAGUGGUUAUGAGGAGGAAGAGGAGGACAGAGCAGAGUCUCCAGUGUUCAGCUGUGUGUCUCUGAAGAGUGACUGGUCCAUGGAACAGCCUCCAGUCUUCAGUAAUGGACCUGGACCCUCACACACAAAAGGUCAGGACCACAGACUGAGAGCAGAGUCUCCAGGGUCCAGCUGUCUGUCUCUGAAGAGUGACUGGUCCAUGGAACAGCCUCCACUCUUCAGUAAUGAACCUGGACCCUCACACACAGAUGAGAGGAGGAGGAGUCAUGUUUCUGAGGAGGAGCAGUCGUCCUGCUGUGCUUCGUGUCA